UGGCCGUGGCAUUGGAAGGGUUGACCUUCUUUGAUAGAAUCACCACUUCACGACUAGGACUCUCAACCUCUUCAUCCUCACUAUCCGCCUGCUCGCUCAACCUUGGAACCAAACGACUAGUGUAGACUUUAGGAAAGAGCUCUUUCACCUUAUCAUGGCAUUCAUUAAAUCCAACAUGGCAUGAGGAGAAGGCACCCUCCGUGACCUCAAUCCUGAAGUCCUCAGACACUCUGAAGUUCUCCACC
rnacentral:lncRNA from 1 species